ACAUGCCUACAACAUAGAGUUAAUGUAUCGGAUCCCAUUAGAACUCCAUAGUUAAGCGUGCUCAGUCUAGAGUAGUACUGGGAUGGGUGACCACUCAGGAAGUACUCGUAUUUUACAUGCC
rnacentral:rRNA from 1 species